rnacentral:lncRNA from 1 species
GGUGUGUCAGGAGUUUCUUCGAGACAGGACCAAGCUAUGAGCCUGUGGCAGGAGCAUCCGAGGCACAGCUCAGCCUCUCCCGUGCUGCACACACCCCCGUGUGCAGGUGCCCUUGCCCGCAGCCGCAGCUCCACGUCCGCGUGGAGUCAGCUGCUGCUGUCAAGCGUUUUCACAGUACAGUUACUGGUCUACUCCAGCACAGUCACGAGGCACCUUGAGAGGCUGCAAAAGACCCCUAAAGUCUUCUGCAUCUUUAUCAU